ACCGGCUAACUCCGUGCCAGCAGCCGCGGUAAUACGGAGGGUGCGAGCGUUAAUCGGAAUUACUGGGCGUAAAGCGCAUGCAGGCGGCCUGUUAAGUCAGAUGUGAAAGCCCGGGGCUUAACCUCGGAAUUGCAUUUGAAAACUGGCAGGCUAGAGUCUUGUAGGAGGGGGUAGGAAUUUCAGGUGUAGCGGUGAAAUGCGUAGAGAUCUGAAGGAAGUACCAGUGGCGAACGGCGGCCCCCUGGACAAAGACUGACGCUCAGAUGACGAAAGCGGUGGGGAGACAAACGAGGUAUUAGACUACCCUGGUAG
rnacentral:rRNA from 1 species